rnacentral:rRNA from 1 species
UACAGAGGGCUCAAGCGUUGUUCGGAUUCAUUGGGCGUAAAGGGUGUGUAGGUGGCGCCGUAAGUCGGGUGUGAAAUCUCGGGGCUUAACUCCGAAACUGCAUUCGAUACUGCGGUGCUUGAGGACUGGAGAGGAGACUGGAAUUCAUGGUGUAGCAGUGAAAUGCGUAGAGAUCAUGAGGAAGACCAGUGGCGAAGGCGGGUCUCUGGACAAUAACUGACGCUGAGGAGCGAAAGCGUGGGGAGCGAACAGG